rfam:Glycine max cultivar Williams 82 chromosome 2, whole genome shotgun sequence.
AGAAAAGUGAUGAGGUUAUAAUAUCUGAAUAUGGUGUGGAUUCCUUAUUUCAAAGGGUCUUAAAAGUUCUCUGAUUGCU